CAGUGGUAUAGGCCUAGAGAGGAACCAAUACAGAUUGGAGCAGGCCAGAAGGGUCUGGAAGAGAUUUCCAAAGAAAGAUUCAAUUAAUAGAUUAUGAUUGCUAGAAAAACACUUGUUAGAUCCCGGUGUCUGGGUCCAGCCAUGCUGAAGUCUGAGGGGAGUGGGUGGAUGAGCAGAAAGAACACUUGAUGGGCUGUAGGCAGGUGAAUAUGGUUUUAUUUAGCAGCAGCUCUCUUACACGGUUUACUCAAACUAGCUCUUUUACAUUGUCCACCCUGUCUCAACUGCUUAGUCUGGUGGCUCCCACACACACCUGUGCAGCAGGCUUUCCCUUGCCUUCAGGGUCAGCAGCUUAACUCUUUUUCUCUCUGGGCAUGAGCAAGCCAAGCUGUGUCCUGGCUCCCUCCUGUCCAUCUGUAAAAUGGACAGCUUUGGCUCUCUCUGUCUCUCUUUCUCUGGGUGCCAGUGCAUCCCCCAUGUCAAGCCAUGUUGAGCCGAGCCAAGCCCCCAGGUCCCCCGUACAGCAUUAACAGGGCAGACAAUAGUGGCUCAGAGCCAAGUAUGAACUUAACACAAACAGGUUAUAUAACAAGUGAAGGUGUGCGCCUGCGCACCAAACUCACUGAGUUAUGCAGGCCUUGGAUAUCCACCUCGGCCUGUUCCUUGACCAAAGCACAUCCAUAUGUACCUUACACUCCACCCCCUAGGCCAAAGGAGACAUAUGCCUUGGACACACAGGUUUGAUCCACAGGUUUGGCAUACAGGCCUGACAUAUAAACUUUGGGCAUGCAGGCCCAAUACAUACACAGGCUUGACACAUAAGCCUGACACACAAGCCUUGGGCACACAAGCCCGAUACAUACGUAAGCUUCUGGGUACGCAGGCCCCUUGCAUACAUAAGCUAUGAUAAACUGCCCAGCUACUGGCGCAGAUUACCUUAGGUGUCACCUCCUUGGUGAUUACCAUUCACACUGCCUUGAGUUUAGCUUAUUAACCCCUUUGCCUAUACCUGCUUUCAAACCAUAUGAUGUCAGUACUAGCCUGGACUGCACCAGCAGUCCAGGCAGCAGUAGCACCCCAGCUGGACCCACUUGUACACGAUACCCUAUUAGGAAUGGGGGGGUGUGCUUCCUAAUGGUGAAGGCUUAGGUCUAGGGGUGCCUCAGGCCUCAUGGCCUCAUCUUGCAUUAGGACUUCAGGUCCCAAAACCUCUUGUAACUCUGCUGCUAAGGAACUUGUACUCAGCGUACUCUGCUGCUCUAAGUUAGUAUGUGCCCCACUUCACUAAAGCAGAUGUCUUCACCGUCCCUGUCCAGGGGUCAUUAUCCAUGAAUGCACCCAACCUACUAUUGGGUUAGUCGUAAGCAUGACGACUGUAACCUAUCCUGCCAUGCUCUUAUGAGCCUGAAGGGCAGCAUAUGCAGUUACUAACCGCUUUCCCAGUCUGGGGGGUGUGGUUACCCAUGAACACACCCAUCCCGCUAUUACUAACUGCUUCUCUAUUAAUGAACACUGGAGGUCAGCUCUCUUCCACAGCUGGGACUAAAAGCUUACUGGUGCUUCCACGCACUCAUGCACUGCUAUAGACCCUGGCCAAAACUAUCUGUACGUGUACAUCUAGUGUAAAUGGGCACCCUUGGUUUACUACCCAGAAAGGCUGUCUCAGCCUCAUCAUUCCAAUCCCAGGCAAGAGGAGUGCUGCACUUUUUAAACUGCAAGAGAAUCAGAGGUUAACAGACCAUUAUUAACAAAGCCACAGCAUAUGGUGGGGCUAUACAAUAGCCCAGCAGCAACACUAUGAAAGUCCAUUGUCAGGCCUAGCAUGGUGGCUCACGCCUGUAAUCCAAGCACUUUGGGAGAUCGAGGCGGGCAGAUCACAAGGUCAGGAGUUCGAGACCAGCCUGGCCAAUAUGGUGAAACCCCAUCUCUACUGAAAAUACAAAAAUUGGCUGGGCGUGGUGGCUCAUGCCUGUAAUCCCAGCACUUUAGGAGGCAGAGGCGGGCGGAUCACAAGGUCAGGAGAAUGAGACCAUCCUGGCCAACAUGGUGAAACCCUGUCUCUACUGAAAAUACAAAAAUUAGCCGGGUGUGGUGGUGCAUGCCUGUAGUCCCAGCUACUUGGGAGGCUGAGGCAGGAGAAUCGCUUGAACCCAGGAGGUGGAGGUUGCAGUGAGCCGAGAUUGCGCCACUGCACUCCAGCCUGGUGACACAGCAAGACUCUGUCUCAACGAAAAACAACGACAACAACAACAACAACAAAAAUUAGCCAGGCUUGGUGGCAGAUGCCUAUAGUCCUAGCUACUCAGGAGGCUGAGGCAGGAGAAUUGCUUGAACCCAGGUGGCAGAGGUCGCAGGGAGCUGAGAUCGUGCCACUGCACUCCAGCCUGGGCGACAGAGCAAGACUCCAUCUCAAAAAAAAAAAAAAAAAAGAAAAGAAAAAAGAAAAAGUCCAUUGUUGCCCUCCCAUGAAGGCAAACUGUUCCUGGCUCUCUGGACAAGAAGUCCCAGUUCCGUUGUCAAGCGGUCCGGCAAGUCCGUGACAGACAAUACAGCUGCCAAGCCGUGCAAAACAUCCACCCCCAGAAUGUCUUCAGGUAUGUGAGACACAUACACAGUGCAUAAGUGGAGAGCCAAGCAGCGGAUGCCAAGAUGCAAAGACACAGGUUUUGCUUUCACUGACCAACUUUCAUAGCUGUUCAUGCGGCUCUGCCCGGAAACUUAUCCAGGUUCAGAGACCAGUGGAUUGCCAAAUCCACAUGUGGCUCUGGUUUUCCAGUGCCCCGCAAGCCGGCACCUUAGCCAGUUCUCUUAUCAAGCAGAAAAGGCUUUACACUUCCGCCAACUGCAGCAGGUACUCUUUGAACUGGAAUGCUCGAGUAGGACUAGGUUGCGCAGCAAUGUCCUUCUCCCGAAUGACUUGCACUAAGUCUGUACACAACGGCCGACAUUAGUUGCUUAACUCCCUCAACUCAGCGGGGACACAGGCACCGUAGGAAAUGUGUUCCACCACGAUGGGGGGUCUCUGGGCCUCCUCUUAGGGCCCAACAGCUGUUCAUGCUCUAUUUUCUGACGGACUACCGGGCAAGCCUGCAACGGAGGUUCCUCCUCCCUGCGCUGCAUCCUGCAGGGAUUGGGCAUUCAUUUCCCUCAGCACAGUCGCAAAUGCCCGUCUGACUCUGCUGGCAAAGGCCCUGUCCUACCAUGAGCUGAAGAGGCAGCAACAUACGUGUUUGGAGUUUAGUAGGGACUGAGAAGCGGGGAAAAGAACUGCCUAACCAAAGGCACUGUUAAGCUGUUAAGGUUGAACUGUGUCCCCCAAAAGAUAUGUUGAAAUCCUAUCCCAAGUAUCUCAGAGUGUGACCUUACUUAGAAACAGGGUGGUUGCAGGUACAAACAAGUCAAGAUGAGGUCAUACUGAUAAGAUGGGCCCUAAUCCAGAGACCGUUGAAAUAAGAAGAGGAAAUUUGGACACAGAGACACAGACACAUGGGAAGAACACUACGUAGUAAAGGAGGCAGAAACUGGAGUCACGCGUCCACAAAACAAAAAAUGCCAAAGAUUGCCAACAACUGCCAGAAACUAGGAAGAAUCAAGGAGGGAUUUUCCUGCUCUCUCAGCUCUCCACCAAAUGAGGAUACAAUGAGACAACUGCUGUCUGCACACCAGGAAGAGUGCCCUCCCCAGACACCAGAUCUGCUGGCACCUUGAUCCUGGACUUCCCAGCCUCCAAAACUGUGGGAAAUAAUUG
rnacentral:lncRNA from 1 species